rnacentral:rRNA from 1 species
GACGAACGCUGGCGGCGUGCUUAACACAUGCAAGUCGAACGAAGAGCGAUGGAAGCUUGCUUCUAUCAAUCUUAGUGGCGAACGGGUGAGUAACGCGUAAUCAACCUGCCCUUCAGAGGGGGACAACAGUUGGAAACGACUGCUAAUACCGCAUACGAUCUAAUCUCGGCAUCGAGGAUAGAUGAAAGGUGGCCUCUACAUGUAAGCUAUCACUGAAGGAGGGGAUUGCGUCUGAUUAGCUAGUUGGAGGGGUAACGGCCCACCAAGGCGAUGAUCAGUAGCCGGUCUGAGAGGAUGAACGGCCACAUUGGGACUGAGACACGGCCCAGACUCCUACGGGAGGCAGCAGUGGGGAAUCUUCCGCAAUGGACGAAAGUCUGACGGAGCAACGCCGCGUGAGUGAUGACGGCCUUCGGGUUGUAAAGCUCUGUUAAUCGGGACGAAAGGCCUUCUUGCGAAUAGUGAGAAGGAUUGACGGUACCGGAAUAGAAAGCC